GAAAGACCUUGCGGAGUAGGAAUACAAGUAACGGUUCACCGAUCCAAGGCAAACUUGCAGCACUUGCCUAAGCAUCGGGCUUACGUGGUUGCCGGGUGCCAGAGCCUGCCGAAGUAGUUUGGAGUGUCUAAUGGGGCUCCCUGGGCUGCUGAUCACUACUCGCCGUAUUACUCCACGUGAUAACUAAUCGUGGGAGGUGCAUCUACCGGCAGGAAUGGCGUGGUCGUUGAUUCAAAAGUUUACAUCUUUCAGCCAGAAAGUAGGCCUGCCCAAACUACUUGGCAAAGUUGCAACUGUGACGAACAGGCACCGUCAUCCAGAGUAACCAGGGGCACCAGGUGGAUCGAGGUUAGGUGCGAACGUGCAGAGUACUGCCAUUUAGACGCUUGCACGUGACUCUUCCCACGCCCAGUCCGAAUUCUGUAUUUGAAAUAAACGACUAAACGACGGAAGCUCGAGAACUUAAGCAGGUAGGUAGGUCAGUAGAGGUUGACCUGCUCACCCCGUUCGCUGGAUUUAAGGGUGCGGAAAAUAAAUCGGAGACUAGUUUUUGGAAUAAAUCUCCAGUUUCUGACUUGGCUUGUGAUGGUACACGCAAGAAACAACGACGGAAGAAAGAAAUGGAGCAGAAACUCGUAGGAGGUUCGAGGGGGCGCAGAAUUACAGGUUGCACCCCUAGUUAGUAACGCGAAGAGGCUAUAAGAGGGAUGCCUGGAUGGAUGACUCUGAUGCACAGUUCAUUAGCGGCUCGAGGAGAGAAGAGGAGAGGUGCCGGACUCUUGCUCGGAAACGAGGCUACCAAUCCGCUCCGCACGCGCUCAAGAGGCCGCAGCCGCGUUUCGUUCCCGCGCGAGUCGCGGUGCCGUGUCAA